CGGUUAAGUUAGAAAGGGCGCACGGUGGAUGCCUUGGCACUAGGAGCCGAUGAAGGACGGGACGAACACCGAUAUGCUUCGGGGAGCUGUAAGCAAGCUUUGAUCCGGAGAUUUCCGAAUGGGGAAACCCACCACUCGUAAUGGAGUGGUAUCCAUAUCUGAAUACAUAGGGUAUGAGAAGGCAGACCCGGGGAACUGAAACAUCUAAGUACCCGGAGGAAGAGAAAGCAAAUGCGAUUCCCUGAGUAGCGGCGAGCGAAACGGGACCAGCCCAAACCAAGAGGCUUGCCUCUUGGGGUUGUAGGACACUCUGUACGGAGUUACAAAGGAACGAGGUAGAUGAAGAGGUCUGGAAAGGCCCGCCAUAGAAGGUAACAGCCCUGUAGUCAAAACUUCGUUCUCUCCUGAGUGGAUCCUGAGUACGGCGGAACACGUGAAAUUCCGUCGGAAUCCGGGAGGACCAUCUCCCAAGGCUAAAUACUCCCUAGUGACCGAUAGUGAACCAGUACCGUGAGGGAAAGGUGAAAAGCACCCCGGAAGGGGAGUGAAAGAGAUCCUGAAACCGUGUGCCUACAAGUAGUCAGAGCCCGUUAACGGGUGAUGGCGUGCCUUUUGUAGAAUGAACCGGCGAGUUACGAUCCCGUGCAAGGUUAAGCAGAAGAUGCGGAGCCGCAGCGAAAGCGAGUCUGAAUAGGGCGAAUUGAGUACGUGGUCGUAGACCCGAAACCAGGUGAUCUACCCAUGUCCAGGGUGAAGUUCAGGUAACACUGAAUGGAGGCCCGAACCCACGCACGUUGAAAAGUGCGGGGAUGAGGUGUGGGUAGGGGUGAAAUGCCAAUCGAACCUGGAGAUAGCUGGUUCUCUCCGAAAUAGCUUUAGGGCUAGCCUCAAGGUAAGAGUCUCGGAGGUAGAGCACUGAUUGGACUAGGGGCCCCUACCGGGUUACCGAAUUCAGUCAAACUCCGAAUGCCGAUGACUUAUCCUUGGGAGUCAGACUGCGAGUGAUAAGAUCCGUAGUCGAAAGGGAAACAGCCCAGACCGCCAGCUAAGGUCCCAAAGUAUACGUUAAGUGGAAAAGGAUGUGGAGUUGCUUAGACAACCAGGAUGUUGGCUUAGAAGCAGCCACCAUUUAAAGAGUGCGUAAUAGCUCACUGGUCGAGUGACUCUGCGCCGAAAAUGUACCGGGGCUAAACGUAUCACCGAAGCUGCGGACUGUUCUUCGAACAGUGGUAGGAGAGCGUUCUAAGGGCUGUGAAGCAAGACCGGAAGGACUUGUGGAGCGCUUAGAAGUGAGAAUGCCGGUAUGAGUAGCGAAAGAGGGGUGAGAAUCCCCUCCACCGAAUGCCUAAGGUUUCCUGAGGAAGGCUCGUCCGCUCAGGGUUAGUCGGGACCUAAGCCGAGGCCGAAAGGCGUAGGCGAUGGACAACAGGUUGAUAUUCCUGUACCACCUCCUCACCAUUUGAGCAAUGGGGGGACGCAGGAGGAUAGGGUAAGCGCGGUAUUGGAUAUCCGCGUCCAAGCAGUUAGGCUGGGAAAUAGGCAAAUCCGUUUCCCGUGAAGGCUGAGCUGUGAUGGCGAGCGAAUUAUAGUAGCGAAGUUCCUGAUUCCACACUGCCAAGAAAAGCCUCUAGCGAGGUGAGAGGUGCCCGUACCGCAAACCGACACAGGUAGGCGAGGAGAGAAUCCUAAGGUGAUCGAGAGAACUCUCGUUAAGGAACUCGGCAAAAUGACCCCGUAACUUCGGGAGAAGGGGUGCUCUGUUAGGGUGCAAGCCCGAGAGAGCCGCAGUGAAUAGGCCCAGGCGACUGUUUAGCAAAAACACAGGUCUCUGCGAAGCCGUAAGGCGAAGUAUAGGGGCUGACGCCUGCCCGGUGCUGGAAGGUUAAGAGGAGCGCUUAGCGUAAGCGAAGGUGCGAAUUGAAGCCCCAGUAAACGGCGGCCGUAACUAUAACGGUCCUAAGGUAGCGAAAUUCCUUGUCGGGUAAGUUCCGACCCGCACGAAAGGCGCAACGAUCUGGGCACUGUCUCAACGAGAGACUCGGUGAAAUUAUAGUACCUGUGAAGAUGCAGGUUACCCGCGACAGGACGGAAAGACCCCGUGGAGCUUUACUGCAGCCUGAUAUUGAAUGUUGGUACAGCUUGUACAGGAUAGGUAGGAGCCUUGGAAACCGGAGCGCCAGCUUCGGUGGAGGCAUCGGUGGGAUACUACCCUGGCUGUAUUGACCUUCUAACCCGCCGCCCUUAUCGGGCGGGGAGACAGUGUCAGGUGGGCAGUUUGACUGGGGCGGUCGCCUCCUAAAAGGUAACGGAGGCGCCCAAAGGUUCCCUCAGAAUGGUUGGAAAUCAUUCGCAGAGUGUAAAGGCACAAGGGAGCUUGACUGCGAGACCUACAAGUCGAGCAGGGACGAAAGUCGGGCUUAGUGAUCCGGUGGUUCCGCAUGGAAGGGCCAUCGCUCAACGGAUAAAAGCUACCCCGGGGAUAACAGGCUUAUCUCCCCCAAGAGUCCACAUCGACGGGGAGGUUUGGCACCUCGAUGUCGGCUCAUCGCAUCCUGGGGCUGUAGUCGGUCCCAAGGGUUGGGCUGUUCGCCCAUUAAAGCGGUACGCGAGCUGGGUUCAGAACGUCGUGAGACAGUUCGGUCCCUAUCCGUCGCGGGCGCAGGAAAUUUGAGAGGAGCUGUCCUUAGUACGAGAGGACCGGGAUGGACGCACCGCUGGUGUACCAGUUGUUCUGCCAAGGGCAUCGCUGGGUAGCUAUGUGCGGACGGGAUAAGUGCUGAAAGCAUCUAAGCAUGAAGCCCCCCUCAAGAUGAGAUUUCCCAUUCCGCAAGGAAGUAAGAUCCCUGAAAGAUGAUCAGGUUGAUAGGUCUGAGGUGGAAGUGUGGCGACACAUGGAGCUGACAGAUACUAAUCGAUCGAGGACUUAACCAAUUU
rnacentral:rRNA from 3 species